rnacentral:lncRNA from 1 species
GCAUUGAAGAAUGGAGAAGGAGCCAAUAGCAGUGUGACGGUGGUGUUUGAAGGGGAACGAGAAACGAGAAGAAAUGGUUCAUUUUGUGGCGGCUGUACGGCAACACUGGAUGGAUGAGGUUCACGGAGUCACUGUAGCUUUCUGACGGUUCUCAGAUUCAGAGGAAACGCAAAGCAAAGCGUCAUGCAAAUAGACACUUUUCAAGUUUCAAUGAAACUGCUAUUUUGUCAAUCUCAGUCAAAUGUCGGGAAAACCGUCAUUUUCUUGUGUUAACUCCUUCAUUUUGAUUUACUGAAGCC